rnacentral:rRNA from 1 species
UACGAAGGGGGGCUAGCGUUGCUCGGAAUCACUGGGCGUAAAGCGCACGUUAGGCGGCUUUUUAAGUCAGAGGUGAAAUCCUGGAGCUCAACUCCAGAACUGCCUUUGAUACUGGAGAGCUUGAGUCCGGGAGAGGUGAGUGGAACUGCGAGUGUAGAGGUGAAAUUCGUAGAUAUUCGCAAGAACACCAGUGGCGAAGGCGGCUCACUGGCCCGGUACUGACGCUGAGGUGCGAAAGCGUGGGGAGCAAACAGG